rnacentral:lncRNA from 1 species
AAGAAAGAGGGUUGAAACCUUCAUGACAAUGCUAGAGAAUUAACAGUGAGAGAUGCAUUAAGCAACAACACAGUUUUGCCUUUUACAAGCUCCCUGAGGUUUUUAUUUCAGUCAGAGGACCAAGAUUUCAGUUCAAGUCACUGGAAGAAAAGAGCUGUCAUUUAUGCUCUCUACUUACAGGUAAAUUGUCUUGUGAUUAUUUCCACAGAACUCUGACUUGGAUAAGCUACCUAAGAUCGGAACCCUCUGAUAAUUUGUGCUGCUAUUUUAAGAUCCAGUUCCAUUCUACAACUGGCUGAAGCAUGAAGUCAACUAAAAUAAACUGAAUUGAGUGGAA